rnacentral:tRNA from 1 species
UGCGGCGUAGCUCAGCCGGAUAGAGCACCUCGCUGUCUGCAUGCUAGCAGUCGACACUUCUAGUAUGGGCGAGGAGGUCGCGGGUUCAAGUCCCGCCGUCGCACCCA